rnacentral:rRNA from 1 species
UCCUGGCGUCAGGAUGAACGCUAGCUACAGGCUUAACACAUGCAAGUCGAGGGCAGCAUGGGAGUUGCUUGCAAUCCCGAUGGCGACCGGCGCACGGGUGAGUAACGCGUAUCCAACUCCCGUCACUCAGGGAUAGCCCGCCGAAAGGCGAAUUAAUACCUGAUGAUCUCCUUUGCGGACAUCUAAUGAGGAGUAAAGGUUUUCCGGUGACGGAUGGGGAUGCGUCUGAUUAGGUGUUGGCGGGUAACGGCCCACCAAGCCUUCGAUCAGUAGGGGUUCUGAGAGGAAGGUCCCCCACAUUGGAACUGAGACACGGUCCAAACUCCUACGGGAGGCAGCAGUGAGGAAUAUUGGUCAAUGGGCGUAAGCCUGAACCAGCCAAGUAGCGUGCAGGAAUGACGGCCCUACGGGUUGUAAACUGCUUUUAUGCGGGGAUAAAGUGCGGCACGUGUGCCGCUUUGCAGGUACCGCAUGAAUAAGGACCGGCUAAUUCCGUGCCAGCCGCUGC